rnacentral:rRNA from 1 species
CCUACGGGAGGCAGCAGUGGGGAAUUUUGGACAAUGGGGGGAACCCUGAUCCAGCCAUUCCGCGUGUGCGAUGAAGGCCUUCGGGUUGUAAAGCACUUUUGGCAGGAAAGAAAUCGCACGGAUUAAUACUUUGUGUGGAUGACGGUACCUGCAGAAUAAGCACCGGCUAACUACGUGCCAGCAGCCGCGGUAAUACGUAGGGUGCAAGCGUUAAUCGGAAUUACUGGGCGUAAAGCGUGCGCAGGCGGUUCGGAAAGAGAGGUGUGAAAUCCCAGGGCUUAACCUUGGAACUGCACUUUUAACUCCCGAGCUAGAGUAUGUCAGAGGGGGGUGGAAUUCCGCGUGUAGCAGUGAAAUGCGUAGAUAUGCGGAGGAACACCGAUGGCGAAGGCAGCCCCCUGGGAUGAUACUGACGCUCAUGCACGAAAGCGUGGGGAGCAAACAGGAUUAGAUACCCUGGUAGUCCACGCCCUAAACGAUGUCAACUAGCUGUUGGGGGCUUCGGCCCUUAGUAGCGCAGCUAACGCGUGAAGUUGACCGCCUGGGGAGUACGGUCGCAAGAUUAAAACUCAAAUGAAUUGACGG